GAUGAACGCCGGCGGUAUGCUUUACACAUGCAAGUCGUACGAGAAUUUUUAAUUCAAGUGGCGGACGGGUGAGUAACACGUAAGAAUUUGCCUUUAGGAGGGGGACAACAACUGGAAACGGUUGCUAAUACCCCAUAUGCUUUCGAGUGAAACGGAAUUUUCCGCCUAGAGAGAAGCUUGCGGCUGAUUAGCUUGUUGGUGAGGUAAUGGCUCACCAAGGCGACGAUCAGUAUCUGGUUUGAGAGGACGAUCAGACACACUGGAACUGAGACACGGUCCAGACUCCUACGGGAGGCAGCAGUGGGGAAUUUUCCGCAAUGGGCGAAAGCCUGACGGAGCAAUACCGCGUGAGGGAUGACGGCCUAUGGGUUGUAAACCUCUUUUUUCAGGGAGGAAUAAAAUGACGUGUACCUGAAGAAUAAGCACCGGCUAACUACGUGCCAGCAGCCGCGGUAAGACGGAGGAUGCAAGUGUUAUCCGGAAUCACUGGGCGUAAAGCGUCUGUAGGUGGUUUAAUAAGUCAACUGUUAAAUCUUGAGGCUCAACUUCAAAAUCGCAGUCGAAACUAUUAGACUAGAGUAUAGUAGAGGUAAAGGGAAUUUCCAGUGGAGCGGUGAAAUGCGUAGAUAUUGGAAAGAACACCGAUGGCGAAAGCACUUUACUGGGCUAUUACUAACACUCAGAGACGAAAGCUAGGGUAGCAAAUGGGAUUAGAUACCCCAGUAGUCCUAGCCGUAAACUAUGGAUACUAGAUGUUGAACAGAUCGACCUGUGCAGUAUCAAAGCUAACGCGUUAAGUAUCCCGCCUGGGAAGUAUGCUCGCAAGAGUGAAACUCAAAGGAAUUGACGGGGGCCCGCACAAGCGGUGGAGCAUGUGGUUUAAUUCGAUGCAACGCGAAGAACCUUACCAGGGUUUGACAUGAUACGAAUUUCUUGAAAGAAGAAAGUGCCG
rnacentral:rRNA from 1 species